rnacentral:rRNA from 1 species
UGGGGAAUAUUGCGCAAUGGGGGGAACCCUGACGCAGCCAUGCCGCGUGAAUGAAGAAGGCCUUCGGGUUGUAAAGUUCUUUCGGUAUUGAGGAAGGUUGAUGUGUUAAUAGCACAUCAAAUUGACGUUAAAUACAGAAGAAGCACCGGCUAACUCCGUGCCAGCAGCCGCGGUAAUACGGAGGGUGCGAGCGUUAAUCGGAAUAACUGGGCGUAAAGGGCACGCAGGCGGUUAUUUAAGUGAGGUGUGAAAGCCCCGGGCUUAACCUGGGAAUUGCAUUUCAGACUGGGUAGCUAGAGUACUUUAGGGAGGGGUAGAAUUCCACGUGUAGCGGUGAAAUGCGUAGAGAUGUGGAGGAAUACCGAAGGCGAAGGCAGCCCCGUGGGAAUGUACUGACGCUCAUGUGCGAAAGCGUGGGGAGCAAACAGGAUUAGAUACCCUGGUAGUCCACGCUGUAAACGCUGUCGAUUUGGGGGUUGGGGUUUAACUCUGGCGCCCGUAGCUAACGUGAUAAAUCGACCGCCUGGGGAGUACGGCCGCAAGGUUA